GGGGAAAGUAUCUUUAAAGGUGGGCUGGCUUCCCCAAGCUCACACAGCUAACACACAGCGGAGUUGUAAAUCCGGUAAGUCCCCCUUUUCCAGCUGGUACCAAACCCGCGGAUGUGGGAUGUGCAGGGCUGAGCCUCGAAUGCUUCCUGUGAUGCCCAGAUUCACAAUUUCGCAACCCAGGGGUGGAGGGUAGACUGGCUCUCAGAGGAGACAACAUAAGUUUGCUUGUAUGUUUUUGAUUUUGCCUUUAACUCAGCUUCCUUGGUUCCCCUCACUACUUGGAAGAGGACAGGGUCGACGGAGCUCCCGGAAGCCAGCUCUUCCUGCAUGAGGACAUCUAGGGUCCCACAGGGCCGACAGCUCAGCUCCCUCUGGGGCUGGGAGACAACUGUGGCUCCCAGAGGAGGUCACCAGAGAGAGAGGUUCCUCGCCUCUUCUCCAACUGGGCCAGGAGCCUGUUGGACACCCUUGGUAGGAGCAUCUUUAGGAAAAAGCAGGUCAGGAAAAGCUGGAGAGAGGCUGCUGGCAGCGGUACCCACACUGUCACAGCUGGGGCUGAGAGCGAGGUGGCACCAGCGCGCAGGCUGCGGCUCACCGACUCCUACUCAGGGCUCACGGAGCGCUCCCGGGAAACCAAAGCGGAGGGAGACGAGAGCAGACCUCUCCAAGGCUAAGGAGGGCAGGCAGCGCGCAGCGGUCCCACGACUGAGUAACUCAAUCCCUACACCAAAGACGGCGUCCGGGCUGCCAGGGGGAUGGAGGAGAAGACUUCCGAGACUCCAUCGAGCCCGAGUUCCUGCGGCUGGGGCUAGGUGACUGCCGAGCCCCCGCCGCGGCGCGAGACUCACCUUUCCGGGGAAGCCGAUCGGGCGCAGCCAGGCGGCGGGACAGGCGGACGGUCGCCGGAAGCUGCUCCACUCCGUGCCCCUGGCCGAGGCGCGCCCCAGAGUCCUGGAUCCAGGCUGUCUCCCCUCCCAGCCUCUUACUUUCCGCCGCACUUUCUUUUCCCCCCUUCGGGGCUCCUCCCCCGGCGCCGCGCGAUUGGCCGCGAGCUCACGGAUCAGGCUCCACC
rnacentral:lncRNA from 1 species